UGCAGAUAAAGAAACAAGUUCAGAAAAGAGCUGUGUUACUUGCCUAAAGUUGAGCAGACCAAGGUAAAACAAAAUGUGAUAAUUCUACUGCUCUGAGCAACUUUGGAGCCAAUAGCUGAUGAAGUAUUGGAGAUGCAGUGUGGAGUAGUGAGACUCAGAAGACAAAUUCCCACACAGACUCUGUGUGACUUCAAGCAAGACAUGAGAAGAUGAGAUGGCAUGCUGGAAAUUCCCAUGUAGCCUUCCAGAUCCACUCCCUACUCUCCUCCACCCUGCUCGGCACCCCAGCUGCUGACCUGGAGGACCUGAAGCAAGGCACCUGCUC